rnacentral:rRNA from 1 species
UACGUAGGGGGCAAGCGUUAUCCGGAUUUACUGGGUGUAAAGGGAGCGUAGACGGAAUUGCAAGUCUGAUGUGAAAAUCCGGGGCCCAACCCCGGAACUGCAUUGGAAACUGUAUUUCUAGAGUGUCGGGGAGGCAAGUGGAAUUCCUGGUGUAGCGGUGAAGUGCGUAGAUAUCAGGAGGAACACCAGUGGCGAAGGCGGCUUGCUGGACGAUGACUGACGUUGAGGCUCGAAAGCGUGGGGAGCAAACAGG